rnacentral:rRNA from 1 species
GGUAAUGUCUGGGAAACUGCCCGAUGGAGGGGGAUAACUACUGGAAACGGUAGCUAAUACCGCAUAACGUCGCAAGACCAAAGAGGGGGACCUUCGGGCCUCUUGCCAUCGGAUGUGCCCAGAUGGGAUUAGCUAGUAGGUGGGGUAACGGCUCACCUAGGCGACGAUCCCUAGCUGGUCUGAGAGGAUGACCAGCCACACUGGAACUGAGACACGGUCCAG